rnacentral:rRNA from 1 species
GGAAACAGGUGCUAAUACCGGAUAAGAAAGACGGAUCGCAUGAUCAGCUUUUAAAAGGCGGCGUAAGCUGUCGCUAUGGGAUGGCCCCGCGGUGCAUUAGCUAGUUGGUAAGGUAAAGGCUUACCAAGGCGAUGAUGCAUAGCCGAGUUGAGAGACUGAUCGGCCACAUUGGGACUGAGACACGGCCAAACUCCUACGGGAGGCAGCAGAC